GAUGAACGCUGGCGGCGUGCCUAAUACAUGCAAGUCGAGCGAACAGACGAGGAGCUUGCUCCUUUGACGUUAGCGGCGGACGGGUGAGUAACACGUGGAUAACCUACCUAUAAGACUGGGAUAACUUCGGGAAACCGGAGCUAAUACCGGAUAACAUGUUGAACCGCAUGGUUCAACAGUGAAAGACGGUCUUGCUGUCACUUAUAGAUGGAUCCGCGCCGCAUUAGCUAGUUGGUAAGGUAACGGCUUACCAAGGCAACGAUGCGUAGCCGACCUGAGAGGGUGAUCGGCCACACUGGAACUGAGACACGGUCCAGACUCCUACGGGAGGCAGCAGUAGGGAAUCUUCCGCAAUGGGCGAAAGCCUGACGGAGCAACGCCGCGUGAGUGAAGAAGGUCUUCGGAUCGUAAAACUCUGUUAUUAGGGAAGAACAAGUGUGUAAGUAACUAUGCACGUCUUGACGGUACCUAAUCAGAAAGCCACGGCUAACUACGUG
rnacentral:rRNA from 1 species